CCGAGCGCAGCCCUCUCGCGGUCCCCGUCCGCGAUCCCGCCGGGAUCAGAGCUCCGGGCUCCCCCCUGCAGCGGGGACACGGGCACAAACUUUCCGCCGGCCCCGGAGCGGGAGGAGGGCGCGGACAGAGCCCCGGUUCCCGUCCGAACUCCGAAGGACGACCCCCGCCCCGCCCCGCGCUACCGGAGCUAAGACGGACGGGGGAGGGACGCUCCAGAGAGCUCGGAGAAAUGCUUAGGACAGAGAGGGCGGCUGGCAGAUCGGGACGGGAUGCAGCAGGAGAUGCCGCAGGUUGAACUGCUUCAGAAAAGCCACGCAGGGAGCAAAGGGGGGGGAAGCACCCCACUGCCCACCAGCGCCAAGCCUCACUGCCACUCCACGUCCCUGCCCACCACGUUCUGGGGCAGAAGAAGGGUCUGAAAGCAAAUCAGUCCGUCAGACUUCAUAUCCCCUCCCCCAGCUCCCCAAGGCACCCGUGUGCCCAGCCAUGCGUAUGGGUUUGUUGCUCCCUUCUUGCUGGAAACGAGAGCAGCUAUAGUUUGCAUUGCCCGUGAGGGAAAGCACAGUGAGGGCUCCUGCUGGAAGCUGGGAAUGAGCC
ensembl:lncRNA